UCCUUAAAGAGCCCCUCACCAGGCCACAUAGCAAAUUUUGGUUAUAACCUGGAAGUCGUUACGUGCUCUCUAGGGAGCGUUCUGCCGCAA
rnacentral:lncRNA from 1 species